UUUUAGUUGAUCUCAAUCCUUGAUGGGAGAGAGGGAGGAAUAAAGCUGGGCAAGCAAGCAAAGAGCCCUGGAUCAUUGAAUUGAUGCUUUAAUUUCUGCUGUUGGCUGUUAAUAAUUUGGAUUAUUUAUGUUUAUAAAUGAUGCAGAUCUGUUUACAAGGUUUGUAGAUACUUUUUUUCAGUGGUGUUCUAAUGAAGUUAUGGCAUCUGUCUUAAUUAGUUUCUUAAAUACAUUUACUACUUAAUGGUUUUGAAACAACUGUUUAAUUUUUAAAAUUUUUGAAAACUUGCUAAUAACCUUUGUUCAGAAUUUAGUAGAUUGUUUAAUGCAGGACAUCAACGACAUAAUGAAAGAUGCUUGAAAUGCUUUUGUUAUUUCAGGCAAAUCAAAUUAAAUCAAACUAUCAAACUACAAGAGAAUUUUAGUCCUUUUUGUUUUUGUCUAAACAUGUUAGUUCAGUGAUGUCUUGGUGAACUGUGAGUGAACUGUAUUGAUUUUAUUUUUUUCUAAUAAAUCCUUAGAAACCUUCAUACAGCAUGAGGGCUGUUGGCAUUUUGAAAAAGGUUAAUAAGUAGAAGCAUACAUGUUUUCCUUUUGUUUUUGAAACUUGUUUGUAAACAUAAAUAAAUAUGCCCUUUUAUUAAAUAAAUACACAGCAAUUUUUUUUAAAAAGAACUUUCAGCUUCUUUACUCAAUUCUGCCUAUGUGGUGCAUCGGUCUGUUCUCUUUAACUGCAAUUGGAAUAAAUUUCAAGAUGGUAACAGCCCCAUGAGGUACCCUCUUUAAUUCCUUGGUGGCAGUCUACUAGAAGCAGAUUAAGAAAAUCAUUGCAGUUUGACAUGUUCUUCGUAGAGUUUAUUUAGUUUGCCUAAAAUAGUCUCAGUUUAAAAAAAUAAUAAUAACGACCGCCAUUGUCUCAGAUACAUUUGUUUUCAUUCUUAAGUGGCCAAAUAACAAAUUAGUUAAAAUGAUAAUGUGAAAAGAUGGGAAAGGCCCUAAAAAUAUAUAUUUAGAUGUAUUACUUAACGUAUGCUGGAAUGCCUGUCUCUAAGCCAGUUGGAUUUUUCAAGUCUUUAUUUCUUUGGUCUGCCUUCUCCCCUCUUUGGCCUCUGUCGUUACCAUUUAGGAACUGGCACUGUGUUAGGGCCCAGAUUUCACCAGAUAUAUAAUCCUCAGGCUGACAUAAAGUUUACAAGGACUACUACAACAUCUGAAAAUGCUGACCCAGCAAAGAAACAUUUAGUUGAUGGUGCUUGAUAUUUUUGGUGGGUCGGGGAGAAUCUUUUUCUCUCCAUCAAUCCUUUGCAGUUAUCCUCUGCAAGACUUAGAAACACGUUGGCUCUGUCAGCAUUGGUAAUUGUACAUUACUCAUCAGGUAUUUAGAGUGAAUCAUACUUAUUCAUUUUUCAACUUAAGGCAAUGGCUUUUUACACCAACUCUAAUCCAUAAACGGGUCUUAUGACAUCCAUGA
rnacentral:lncRNA from 1 species